GACAAGCCCUGGAAACGGGGUCUAAUACCGGAUAAUACUCUGUUCCGCAUGGGACGGGGUUGAAAGCUCCGGCGGUGAAGGAUGAGCCCGCGGCCUAUCAGCUUGUUGGUGGGGUGAUGGCCUACCAAGGCGACGACGGGUAGCCGGCCUGAGAGGGCGACCGGCCACACUGGGACUGAGACACGGCCCAGACUCCUACGGGAGGCAGCAGUGGGGAAUAUUGCACAAUGGGCGAAAGCCUGAUGCAGCGACGCCGCGUGAGGGAUGACGGCCUUCGGGUUGUAAACCUCUUUCAGCAGGGAAGAAGCGAGAGUGACGGUACCUGCAGAAGAAGCGCCGGCUAACUACGUGCCAGCAGCCGCGGUAAUACGUAGGGCGCAAGCGUUGUCCGGAAUUAUUGGGCGUAAAGAGCUCGUAGGCGGCUUGUCACGUCGGAUGUGAAAGCCCGGGGCUUAACCCCGGGUCUGCAUUCGAUACGGGCUAGCUAGAGUGUGGUAGGGGAGAUCGGAAUUCCUGGUGUAGCGGUGAAAUGCGCAGAUAUCAGGAGGAACACCGGUGGCGAAGGCGGAUCUCUGGGCCAUUACUGACGCUGAGGAGCGAAAGCGUGGGGAGCGAACAGGAUUAGAUACCCUGGUAGUCCACGCCGUAAACGUUGGGAACUAGGUGUUGGCGACAUUCCACGUCGUCGGUGCCGCAGCUAACGCAUUAAGUUCCCCGCCUG
rnacentral:rRNA from 1 species